AGUGAACGCUGGCGGUAGGCCUAACACAUGCAAGUCGAACGGCAGCACAGAGGAGCUUGCUCCUUGGGUGGCGAGUGGCGGACGGGUGAGGAAUACAUCGGAAUCUACUCUGUCGUGGGGGAUAACGUAGGGAAACUUAAGCUAAUACCGCAUACGACCUACGGGUGAAAGCAGGGGAUCUUCGGACCUUGCGCGAUUGAAUGAGCCGAUGUCGGAUUAGCUAGUUGGCGGGGUAAAGGCCCACCAAGGCGACGAUCCGUAGCUGGUCUGAGAGGAUGAUCAGCCACACUGGAACUGAGACACGGUCCAGACUCCUACGGGAGGCAGCAGUGGGGAAUAUUGGACAAUGGGCGCAAGCCUGACCCAGCCAUACCGCGUGGGUGAAGAAGGCCUUCGGGUUGUAAAGCCCUUUUGUUGGGAAAGAAGUCCAUCUGGUUAAUACCCGGGUGGGAUGACGGUACCCAAAGAAUAAGCACCGGCUAACUUCGUGCCAGCCGCCGCCGUAA
rnacentral:rRNA from 1 species